GAUAUUACAUAUUAGCCGUUACGAUAAUAACGUACCUAGUUAAAACGUCCUUAGGGCGUGCGUUCACCGUACGUCCAUCUAUCCAUUUUUGACAUUUUAACUCUAAUUGUCAUCGCAGUUGUGCUUAAAUUUAAAUUUUAUAAUGGAUUAAUUAUUAUCGAUGCACACUGCUGUAACUAAAAUAUUAUUAAAAUAACAACCUUUCUCUUUCUUAAGGCGGCCUAAGUAAGCUCCCAACCAUUGUCAAAUCAGUUUCCAGCACAAUUGUAAACGGCGAUGGCACUUGAAAUGUCAAAAAUGGAUGGACGGCCGUUCUGUAAAUUCACACCCUUAUACUCUUAAUCCUAUGUAAACAGAUAUACGAUUACAUUAACAGACAUGUGACCUUGCGAUGCGUUAUCGACUAAUCUUACAUUAAGAAAGACGUAUCCGACCUAUAUCACCGAUUUAAUAUUGAACACCAAUUUUUAGCAUCUAAAAGCGAUAUAAAACGAUUUCUCACCGUGUAGUUUUCAUGAUUGGUGCGAAAAACACGUGAUUUCCAAACAUGUCAAAUGAACCUUUACAUUUUGUGUAUGGAGUGAGGCGUUUUGUUUGAAA